UACGGAGGGCGCAAGCGUUGUUCGGAAUUACUGGGCGUAAAGCGCGUGUAGGUGGCUUGGAAAGUCGGGUGUGAAAUCCCGGAGCUCAACUCCGGAACUGCAUCCGAUACUGCCAAGCUCGAGUCUCGGAGAGGAUGGCGGAAUUUCCGGUGUAGAGGUGAAAUUCGUAGAUAUCGGAAGGAACACCAGUGGCGAAGGCGGCCGUCUGGACGAUGACUGACACUGAGACGCGACAGCGUGGGGAGCAAACAGG
rnacentral:rRNA from 1 species